GACGAACGCUGGCGGCGUGCCUAAUACAUGCAAGUAGGACGCAGUUGCGAACGGGUGAGUAACGCGUAGGUAACUACCUAUUAGUGGGGGAUAACUAUUGGAAACGAUAGCUAAUACCGCAUACUAGUCGAUGGACCUGCGUUGUAUUAGCUAGUAAGUAGGGUAAUGGCCUACCUAGGCAACGACACAUAGUCGGCCUGAAGGGGUAAUCGGCCAGACUAGGACUUAGACACGCACCAGACUCCGACUGGAGGCAGCAGUAGGGAGUCUUCGGCGAUGGACGAAAGUCUGACCGAGCAACGCCGCGUGAGUUAAGAAGGUUUUCGGAUCGUAAAACUCUGUUGUUAGAGAAGCGGUAUCUAACCAGAAAGCCACGGCUAACUACGUGCCAGCCGCCGCGGUAAUAC
rnacentral:rRNA from 1 species